rnacentral:rRNA from 1 species
GAGUUUACAACUCCCAAACCCCUGUGAACAUACCAAUUGUUGCCUCGGCGGAUCAGCCCGCUCCCGGUAAAACGGGACGGCCCGCCAGAGGACCCCUAAACUCUGUUUCUAUAUGUAACUUCUGAGUAAAACCAUAAAUAAAUCAAAACUUUCAACAACGGAUCUCUUGGUUCUGGCAUCGAUGAAGAACGCAGCAAAAUGCGAUAAGUAAUGUGAAUUGCAGAAUUCAGUGAAUCAUCGAAUCUUUGAACGCACAUUGCGCCCGCCAGUAUUCUGGCGGGCAUGCCUGUUCGAGCGUCAUUUCAACCCUCAAGCCCAGCUUGGUGUUGGGACUCGCGAGUCAAAUCGCGUUCCCCAAAUUGAUUGGCGGUCACGUCGAGCUUCCAUAGCGUAGUAGUAAAACCCUCGUUACUGGUAAUCGUCGCGGCCACGCCGUUAAACCCCAACUUCUGAAUGUUGACCUCGGAUCAGGUAGGAAUACCCGCUGAACUUAAGCAUAUCAA